ACGGGGUGCAGCAGGCGCGAAGACUUUACAAUGCGGGCAACCGCGAUAAGGGGACCUCGAGUGCCGACAUCAAAUGUCGGCUGUCGUGAUGCCUAAAAAGCAUUAUAUAGCAAGGGCCGGGCAAGACCGGUGCCAGCCGCCGCGGUAACACCGGCGGCUCGAGUGGUAACCGCUAUUAUUGGGUCUAAAGGGUCUGUAGCCGGCCGAAUAAGUCUCUUGGGAAAUCCGGCAGCUCAACUGUCGGGCUUUCAGGAGAUACUGUUCGGCUCGAGGCCGGAAGAGGUGAGAGGUACUUCAGGGGUAGGGGUGAAAUCUUGUAAUCCUUGAAGGACCACCAGUGGCGAAGGCGUCUCACCAGAACGGUCCUGACGGCAAGGGACGAAAGCUGGGGGCACGAACCGGAUUAGAUACCCGGGUAGUCCCAGCCGUAAACGAUACUCGCUAGGUGUCGGCCACGGUGCGACCGUGGUCGGUGCCGUAGGGAAGCCGUGAAGCGAGCCACCUGGGAAGUACGGCCGCAAGGCUGAAACUUAAAGGAAUUGGCGGGGGAGCAC
rnacentral:rRNA from 1 species